GGAAUUGUGCCCGAAAUCCAAGGACCAUUUUGAUAGAAUGUCACAUGAGGGUUAAAAUCCCCCCAAUUCCU
rnacentral:tRNA from 1 species